CAUAUACAUGCAAGUUGAACGAGAUUAGUUUUAGCAAUAGAACUUUUUUAGUGGCGCACGGGUGCGUAACGCGUAUGCAACCUACCUUAAACAGGGGAAUAGCCUCUCGAAAGAGAGAUUAAUACCGCAUAAUAUAUAUUUGGAGCAUUCUAGAUAUAUUAAACCUACGGGGGUUUAAGAUGGGCAUGCGUGACAUUAGCUAGUCGGUGAGGUAAUGGCUCACCAAGGCAACGAUGUCUAGGGGGUCUGAGAGGAUGUCCCCCCACGCUGGUACUGAGACACGGACCAGACUCCUACGGGAGGCAGCAGUAGGGAAUAUUGGUCAAUGGAGGCAACUCUGAACCAGCCAUGCCGCGUGCAGGACUAAGGCCCUAUGGGUCGUAAACUGCUUUUGAACGGGAAGAAAUGUAUCUACGUGUAGAUAUUUGACGGUACCGUUAGAAUAAGGAUCGGCUAACUUCGUGCCAGCAGCCGCGGUAAUACGAAGGAUCCAAGCGUUGUCCGGAUUUACUGGGUUUAAAGGGUGCGUAGGCGGACUUAUAAGUCAGUGGUGAAAGCCUUCAGCUUAACUGAAGAACUGCCAUUGAAACUGUAAGUCUCGAGUUCGGUUGAGGUCAUUGGAAUGUAACAUGUAGCGGUGAAAUGCAUAGAUAUGUUACAGAACACCAAUUGCGAAGGCAGAUGACUAAACCGAAACUGACGCUGAGGCACGAAAGCGUGGGGAUCAAACAGGAUUAGAUACCCUGGUAGUCCACGCCCUAAACGUUGAAUACUCGACCUUAGCGAUAUACAGUUAGGGUCCAAGCGAAAGCGUUAAGUAUUCCACCUGGGAAGUACGUUCGCAAGAAUGAAACUCAAAGGAAUUGACGGGGGCCCGCACAAGCGGAGGAGCAUGUGGUUUAAUUCGAUGAUACGCGAGGAAC
rnacentral:rRNA from 1 species